rnacentral:ncRNA from 2 species
UUCUUAUCAAGAGUGGCUGAGGGAUUAGGCCCUACGACGCCCGGCAACCAUUCAAACAGAAACGGUUUGAAUAAGGUGCCAAUUCCUACAGGUCUUUAAUGAUCUGAGAGAUAAGGA